CGGCGACGGGACCACCAUUGAAGUCGUCCGCAGGCCCAGGGGCCGCCCUCCCGGCUCCAAGAACAAGCCCAAGCCUCCAGUCAUCAUAACCCGCGACACCGAGCCCUUACAUUCUUGAAGUCCCCGGCGGAAGCGAUGUCGUCGAAGUCGUCUCGAGAUUCUGCUGCCGCAAGAACAUCGGAUUCGUCGCUAACGUUCCACGGCCGCUUCGACAUCCUCUCGAUCUCCGCCACGUUCCUUCCGCAAAUGACGGCGACCGGCCCAAUCCCCAACGGCUUCACCAUCUCUCUUGCCGGACCGCAGGGACAGAUCGUCGGAUGACACGUCGCAAGAGGAGUCCGGUUUUGUCCAGACCCACAGAGGGCCAACAAAGUCCCGUCGUCGCCGUCGGACCG
rnacentral:lncRNA from 1 species